rnacentral:rRNA from 1 species
UACAGAGGUCCCGAGCGUUGUUCGGAUUCAUUGGGCGUAAAGGGUGCGUAGGCGGCGGGGAAAGUCUGAUGUGAAAUCCUGGGGCUCAACCCUGGAACUGCAUUGGAUACUUCCUUGCUAGAGUACUGGAGAGGAGACUGGAAUUUACGGUGUAGCAGUGAAAUGCGUAGAGAUCGUAAGGAAGACCAGUGGCGAAGGCGAGUUUCUGGACAGUUACUGACGCUGAGGCACGAAGGCCAGGGGAGCAAACGGG